UGUGGCGGGGGGAUUCAGUCGGGAGGUGCGGAGGCGCCGGCGGGUCUGUUCUGACGGACCCCUCUCGCGGGGCCGGGCCCCCGGCGCGGUCUCCGUUCCGCCCGACGCAUUUCCUCCCGCACCGAGGACGCCGCAGCCGGUCGGGUAGCUGCGCGAGUCGGCCGUGGGGGCGGGCGCUGGCAGUUGGCCGGUGGGGGGGGGCCUCCGGGUUCCCCUCCGCCGGUUGUUAGCCGGCCCGCCCGUGGCGCGACACCCGACCGAGGUCGAUCGGUUCCCCUCUUGGGAACUCGCCGUCCCCUUCCCAUGUUUUUGGGCAGCGGGCUCCUUCGGCAGGCGGUCCGCGGGGCCGCCGCGCCACCCCUCGCGGUGGCCGGCGCCCCGAGGCCGCCGUUGGCCUUAGGCGUCCCGCGGCGGGGCACGCGGCUUGCGGCGAGCGGGUCGGUCACCCACCCGACCCGUCUUGAAACACGGACCAAGGAGUCUAACAUGUGCGCGAGUCACGGGGUCUUGAUCAGGCCCAGGGGCGCAAUGAAAGUGAAGGCCGGCCCCCGCGCCGGCCGCGUUGGGAUUUCCCGCCCCCCCCCGGGGGGCGCGGGGAGGCACCAACGGCCCGUCCUGUCCGAUUCAUCGGUCGGGCGGAGUCCGAGCGCACACGUUGGGACCCGAAAGAUGGUGAACUAUGCCUGGGCAGGACGAAGCCAGAGGAAACUCUGGUGGAGGUCCGUAGCGGUUCUGACGUGCAAAUCGAUCGUCAGACCCGGGUAUAGGGGCGAAAGACUAAUCGAACCA
rnacentral:rRNA from 1 species